CGCGGAUCUCCCCCUCCCCCCCCCAGCCAUCGCCACCUCCACCACCUCAGUUCCACUCAAUCGAUUUUUGCUGCAUGUCAACACUUAUUACGGACCCACUCUAAGAGAGGACUCACUGGCCAGAGUCAAAAACCAAGAAAAGAGUCAUUAGAGAAACAGAAAAAAAGAAUGUGGUCUUGUAAACUCAGAAUCUCCUGACUAGCGAAUGGUGACACCCAUAAUGGAUGGGUCUUCACAUCUCAGUUAGCGGGAUCAAGAUAAUCCCCCACAGACAUGCCAGCAGACCAGCCCGAUCUAGAGAACCUCUCAUCGAAGUCCCUUCCCAGUUCACAGAGAAAUGUGAGGAGACAAAGACAAAUGAAUGGAAGAAUUGUCAAACCAAGAGAACUCAAGAACUUCUGACUUUCAAAAUGACCAGGCUUUCCAAGAUGGAAAACAAUGCCAAAACAAAGAAGUGGCUUCUAGACCAAGAUCCAAGGCAGGGCUGCCAGACAGUCUUGGCCUGAAAAUGAAGCUGAGGACAGGAUUGUGAAAUACUCUGUUAAAACCUUAGGAAGGUCCAAAGUAGUGCUUCAGAGAAUGACUGAGUCAAAUGUGGUGUGCAUGUCAUUGGUUCAGUGAUUUCAGCAGGAUCUCUAAGUAGAGAAGAAAUAAUGUUGAAAGACUCUGUGUGUGUGUGUGUGUGUGUGUGUGUGUGUGUGUGUGUGUGUAAAUGGAAGCAGUCCUAGUAAAGCUCACAGGGUACCAAUUUGUUUUCAUGAGCACACAGUUGUCAGGAAUGUCAACAGGUUAUAUGGGAAAGAACAGAGAUGGAAUGAAAAGGAGAGCUUCUAGACUGUCAGUUUUCUGUAGGCAGGAACCAGACUUAGAAAAACAAACUGCACAUCACCAAAAAGAAGUACCCUCCAAAGUGGAAGCAAAUGUGUGAAGAGCCAAGAGUCACAGAUGGACAGCCAUCCACAGGAAGUAGGAAUGAGCAGGCAUGAAGAACUUCGAAUAUUUGCCCAGCCAGAUUCCAGCAUCUCUAUGAACCAGUGAUUCUGGCAUGCCCCGCACUCACACUAUGCUUUGAAUGGCCAUAUAUAUGGUGGUUAUUGCAAUUCUGCCCCAUUGUUGUGUGGUAUAUAUGUGGUGGGGGGGCACCUCGAUUUAAGCCACACUGAAAAAGCUUCAUCUAUAUGUAGACUUGAUUGGCAUGCAAGAUUCUAGACUUUGGGAUGCUGUUGCUAUGGGACGAGGCUGUUGAGAGCCACGGGAAGACAGAUGUAAGGAUUUUUCCCUCACGGGUGAUGGUGGCUGGAGAGGAUAGUCAGCAGGGGGUGUAAGAUGAACUCAUGUUAAUGAGCAAGAUGUUCCCCGCAUAAUUCUCUCUCCUCGUGCUCCUCUCUGUCUCCUCCCAUAGUUGAUAAACCUGUACCGUCCACGGUAUAGGAAAGGGAAAAGACAGUGUGUGGCUUCCGACGCUAACACAGGGAAGAUACUGUGGCUUCUUGCUUAUUCUCUGUUGGACCACCUACUCUGAGAAAAGCCAGCCAUCAGACCAUGCCACGAGGACCCUCAACCAGUGCUAUGCAGUCUGUGUGAUGCAUGAACAUCUAGACACGCAACAAAGGAUGCUCUCAUCCACCUCGUUUUAUAGAAAGAUUAAACCUGAAAAGGUGGUUUCUCUAAGGGUUGCUCGUGAGCUACCUCGGGAAGCUUGAGGAUCGCCGUCCAGACAUUAAGUAUGGUGUUGUGGAACUGGAACCACCCUAGGAGACAUCUCCCCCUGAGCUCUGGACCCCUAGCACCCGGGGCUGCAUCCGUGGGGAAGGCGUGCGCAGCCGCAGUCCUCCGCCUC